rnacentral:lncRNA from 1 species
UUUUUUUUUUUUUUUUUUUUUACUUGUAUGGAUUAUGUUUUCACUACCAAAGGAAGAGAAUGAGUUAGUCAGGAAUCAUCUGGAAUUCCUUGAAAAUUAUUAUUGAUGGUAGCAGAAAUGAUGAGCUCUAUUUCUGCCACCCUCACUUUCUCUUUCACACAUAUACACAUAUGAAUACCUCACACAGUCUAAAAAAUGGUGGCUUUUCAGAAAAUGUAUUCCAUGCUCACGUUUUAUUCCAGAAACUGUUCUUUACUCCAUAAACCCUCCCUUCAAAAUUUCUUUUCAGAGUAAAUCUUUCCUAACUUGAUCUUAGCAAAUAUUCCCUUUAAUGUGCCUGAAAAGGAUUUUCUUCACAGACUACUCCCCAAAACUUUAUCCAUAAGAAAAAACUAUGAUGCAUAUUUCAAUAUUGUUGAGGUGUAGAUUAAAAUAUAAAGGCACAGUUAGAAAUGGGACAUUUCAGGGGUGAGAGAAAGCUGGUAGGUAAUGAAAGUAGAUGAAACAGUGUGAAACAGGCAAUUUAAUUUAAAGUAGGUUUUGGGGUUAACUUCCCUUAGAAUUAACUUCCUUUAGAAACAACAUAUUUUCUUGCAGUUCUUUAUGGAUUCUUGUCACUUUCCAAUGAGUAUGUGCUUUACAAAAUUUUUUCAGUGAAGAUUCUGACACACUUUACUCCUCCAAGUAAAUUUUCCUUUUUUUUUUAAUUUAUAAAAAUGAUGGGGGGAAAAAGAUGGGAGGAUAUUACUUAUCAUUUCAUGGCUGACAUGGAAAACAGCUAUAUUAAGUUUUUAAAUAGAGGUCCUCUGGAUCCACAGCACAUGAAAAUAGCACCUACCACUAAUCUGCAGUUAUGUUACCUAUUGGUAACUCAGCAGUGAAUAUCUUUGAUUCGUAGUGCAAUAAAGAUUCAAAUUAUUAAAAUUGGACCCAAUUCAUUAAUGUUUAGAGAUGUCAAUAUUUACAAAUGUUGAUGACAACAGGCAGGAAAUAUAUUGAUUUGCCAGGGAAAAUCACUGGCAAAAAAAUGGGAAUUUGGAAGACUUCCUGCCUCUUAGUAUUCUCCCCAAGACACACACACACACACACUCUCUCUCUCUCUCUCUCUCUUCCAAAGUAAGACUUAAAUGAAGAUAUAAAGCAGUUUUGAAAGGGAAAGAAGUUAGCAAGGACAGCAUACUACCCAUGAAAAUGGUUCUCAAGCUUAUAAAAUGAAUUGUCCUGGAGGGAGCAAAAGAUCCUUACACCGAUAAUUUACUCAUUCCCUUUUUUCAAUUGAGAAUGGGAGAGGUGACUCAGUAACAACUGUUGUCGAACAAACAAAUUUAAGGAUACUAUGUUUCAGGCCUGGCAUGGUGGCUCAUACCUGUACCCAACACUUUGCGAGGCUGAGGCGGGAGGAUCACUU